UACUGGCAGGAUCAACCAGGCAACAGUGAAUAAAAAGUAUCCUCUUCCCCGGAUCGACGAGCUCUUCGACCAGCUUCAGGGUGCUCAGUAUUUCUCGAAGGUGGAUUUGAGGUUAAGGUAUCAUCAACUUCGAGUCAGAGAGCAGGAUGUGCAGAAGACAGUGUUCUGUACUCGCUAUGGGCACUAUGAGUUCCUUGCAAUGCCGUUCGGGUUGACAAAUGCGCCAAUAGUGUUCAUGGCUUUAAUGAACAAGAUCUUUGCUCCAUACCUUUAUAGCUUCACAAUGGUGUUCAUUGACGAUGUGUUGGUUUACUCAAGUCCAGAGAGGAGCACAAGCAGCAUUUGAGGACAUCUGUACUGUUGUUGCACAACAACCAGUUGUACACGAAGCUCAGCA
rnacentral:misc_RNA from 1 species